rnacentral:rRNA from 1 species
GAUGAACGCUGGCGGCGUGCCUAAUACAUGCAAGUCGAGCGAACGGACGAGAAGCUUGCUUCUCUGAUGUUAGCGGCGGACGGGUGAGUAACACGUGGAUAACCUACCUAUAAGACUGGGAUAACUUCGGGAAACCGGAGCUAAUACCGGAUGAUAUUUUGAACCGCAUGGUUCAAAAGUGAAAGACGGUCCUGCUGUCACUUAUAGAUGGAUCCGCGCUGCAUUAGCUAGUUGGUAAGGUAACGGCUUACCAAGGCAACGAUGCAUAGCCGACCUGAGAGGGUGAUCGGCCACCCUGGAACUGAGACACGGUCCAGACUCCUACGGGAGGCAGCAGUAGGGAAUCUUCCGCAAUGGGCGAAAGCCUGACGGAGCAACGCCGCGUGAGUGAUGAAGGUCUUCGGAUCGUAAAACUCUGUUAUUAGGGAAGAACAUAUGUGUAAGUAACUGUGCACAUCUUGACGGUACCUAAUCAGAAAGCCACGGCUAACUACGUG